ensembl:lncRNA
CAUUUCUAUGCCAGGCAACCACUGCAGAAGCACACAGCACAGGGCCCUGCUUGAUUAGCACUUCUGCUGUUUCGAGAGUCCUGGAGUGUUUUGUUCAAGGUAACUGCUGAUAAACUCACCCCUCUGAGGGUACUGCGUGGCCGUCAGAAAAGUUGGUCUCACCGAAUGUAUGGGUUUGAAUAAUCUUUAGUAGCCAAUUGCCAGAUGAGAAAAGUCAUAAAGGUGUAAAAUUCAUUCAUAUCAGUCGCAUACAAAAUCUAUGGGAGGAUCAAACCCUUAACAGCUACUGACUGAGUUGGUAUCUGACCCCUGAGGCAAGGCACGCAUCCAUGGAGGAAUGAACCAGACCUCCUUCAGGACAACUUCUGAGACGUCUUCCAAACCUUUCAAAAAUGUUUGGGGCUUACCAAGAAAAGCAGAAUCCCAGAUUUUUAGGAACUUCAGCAGUACUGUGUGUCAGUUUGGAAGAGCGAGAGGGACUAAAAUGUUAUGCUAAUAGACUCAGGGCAAAAGUGGGAUCCAGUACAGACCCAGUCCAACUUCUGUGUCAUAAGGCCCAACAAGACAUGUCAACACCGAGGUUUGGGAAACCACAGUGGGAGAAUUUCCAAGAUUUGGAAGAGGAGAUGUGCCUCAGACGUUCCGAACUUCACUCCCAUGGGCUGAGACUGGUAAUUCCAGGUACAGCACCAGGUCCUUCUGCUCUGGAUGUCACCAAGAUCUCCUGGAGGGCUGCACUCUGGAGGUACCGCAUCCAAAGCUUCUGGCUCUUGGGUCUGAGAUGCAUUUGUUGCAGCCUGACAGGUUCAGAUGUGGCACUGUCUGCAAAACCAACACCACUCAUAGGUAGGAAACUGCAGCAGCCAUGGGACAGUGCAGAGCAGUGGGCACUCUGCCUCUGGAGUUCUUAGGGAUUUCCAAGGGCUGUAGUUUACUGGCUCUGAGACCACUGCUUGGCUUUAAACCAUUUGGCUGCUUGGUUGGAUGUAUCUAGCAUGAGAGUGGUAUUUGUGGGAAUGUGUGUCUGUGUUGGUAACAACUACAGUGUUUGCAGAGCUUUCCUAUGGUGCAAAAUCCAGCUGAUUCUCUGGGUGCCAGGGAGCAACAUGGGGUGUGCUGGAGAAUCCAGUUGCAGGGCUGCAGCAGGUCUGCAAGAGCAAGAGAGGGAAAUCACUCUUCUCUUCCCUUCAGGCUGAUCCUUUUUUGCUAGGUGCUGUGUCCUGGCCGUAGGUCUCCACAUCCUCCCUAGCUCUUCU